rnacentral:tRNA from 1 species
GGGCGAUUAGCUCAGCUGGGAGAGCGUCUGCCUUACAAGCAGAGGGUCGUAGGUUCGAUCCCUACAUCGCCCACCA